GUGCCCUUUUAAGGUUGACACAGCACUCUAAGAGGCUAACACAGGAGGGUAAAGUAAUUCUCCAUAAAACCCAGAGAAGAGAUUAUAAAAGUCCUCUUUGUAUCUUGUUUGGAGUCACAGCU
ensembl:snoRNA